GGCCCUAAAUCUUGAUGCCCCCUAAACACAGGCAUCCGCCUGAGAACUACGAGCAUAAACGCUUAAAACUCUAAGGACUUGGCGGUGCUCUAAACCCACCUAGAGGAGCCUGUUCUAUAAUCGAUAACCCACGAUUCACCCGACCACUUCUUGCCAAAACAGCCUAUAUACCGCCGUCGCCAGCCCACCUCAUGAGAGUACAAUAGUGGGCCCAACAGCCCGGAACCCACUAACAAGACAGGUCGAGGUAUAGCCCAUGAAGUGGAAGAAAUGGGCUACAUUUUCUAAAAUAGAAAACCCAACGAAAGGGGAUCUGAAACCUAUCCCCAGAAGGCGGAUUUAGCAGUAAAGCAGGACAAUCGAGCCUUCUUUAAGUCGGUCCUAGAGCA
rnacentral:rRNA from 1 species